UACGUAGGGGCCUAGCGUUGUCCGGAUUUAUUGGGCGUAAAGAGCUUGUAGGCGGUUCGGUAAGUCAGGUGUGUAAUCUCCACGCUCAACGUGGAGGCGCCACCUGAAACUGCCGUGACUAGAGUCCGGUAGGGGAGUGUGGAAUUCCCGGUGUAGCGGUGAAAUGCGUAGAUAUCAGGAGGAACACCGGUGGCGAAGGCGGCUCUCUGGACCACAACUGACGCUGAGGCGCGAAAGCUAGGGGAGCAAACAGG
rnacentral:rRNA from 1 species